GGAAAAGAAUCUCGCGGUCCGUGUCGCUCAAGUUCAGGUCACAGAGAGCUGAUUGCGUGAAACAGCUGAACUGGAUGACCAACCUGACGGCUGGGUGUAUCAACUGAAGAGCGUCUGGAUCGAAGUGGGAGUACUGUGGUCUGUGUGCGC